rnacentral:rRNA from 1 species
AGCAGCCGCGGUAAUUCCAGCUCCAAUAGCGUAUAUUUAAGUUGUUGCAGUUAAAAAGCUCGUAGUUGAAUUUCGGGGUCAGUAGGUCGGUCGUGCCACUGGUAUGAACUGGUUUUACUGAUUCCUCCCUCUUGAAGAACUGUAAUGCCAUUAAUUUGGUGUUGCAGGGAAUCAGGACUGUUACUUUGAAAAAAUUAGAGCGUUUAAAGCAGGCUUUAGCUUGAAUACAUUAGCAUGGAAUAAUGAAAUAGGACGUUUGAUCCUAUUUUGUUGGUUUCUAGGAUUGACGUAAUGAUUAAUAGGGAUAGUUGGGGGCAUUAGUAUUCAAUUGUCAGAGGUGAAAUUCUUGGAUUUAUUGAAGACUAACUACUGCGAAAGCAUUUGCCAAGGAUGUUUUCAUUAAUCAAGAACGAAAGUUAGGGGAUCGAAGACGAUCAGAUACCGUCGUAGUCUUAACCAUAAACUAUGCCGACUAGGGAUCGGAUGAUGUUAAUUUUUAAUGACUCAUUCGGCGCCUUAC